GUGCUUGCUUCAGCAGCACAUAUCCUGAAGUUGUAAGGAUGCAGAGGAGGUUAACAUGGUCCCACUCCAAGAAUGAUACAAAAUUUCCUGGAGCAUUCCAUGGUUUC